rnacentral:rRNA from 1 species
CGUAGGGGCUAGCGUUAUCCGGAUUACUGGGCGUAAAAGGGUGCGUGGGUGGUCCUUCAAGUCGGUGGUUAAAGGCUACGGCUCAACCGUAGUAAGCCGCCGAAACUGGAGGACUUGAGUGCAGGAGAGGAAAGUGGAAUUCCCAGUGUAGCGGUGAAAUGCGUAGAUAUUGGGAGGAACACCAGUAGCGAAGGCGGCUUUCUGGACUGCAACUGACACUGAGGCACGAAAGCGUGGGUAGCAAACAGGAUU